AAGUUUAAUAGUUUGCAUAUCGCCGUAGGUUGAAUAUUUUUAUAAAAAGGAAAUAUUCAAUAAGUUUUAUAAUAAAAGAAUUCAGGUCAAGAUGUAGCUUAUAGUUAAGAAGAGGUGGAUUACAAUAAAUUUAUUUAUUAUGGAUUAAUAAAUAAAAUUUUAUUAUGAAAGUGGAUUUAAAGGUAAUUUUAUCUAAAUUUAUAAAAUGAUUUUAGCUCUAAAAUAUGUACAUAUCGCCCGUCGCUUUCACUUUAAAGUGGAAUAAGUCGUAACAGAGUAGGUGUACUGGAAAGUGUUCCUAGAAAGAUCAAGUUAGAGCUUGGAAAAGCAUUUUAGUUACAUUAAAAAGUUUAUUGUAAAAUCAAUAUAAUUUGAAUAUAAAGUUUUAUUAAGUUUUUUUAUUUAAUUUUAUUUUUUAUAUAAGUAUAUUUUAUUUUUAUUAAUUUGUUAGAAAAAAUAAAUUUUAUUAUAGAGUAUUAGUAUUGUAGAAGAAUAAUUUUUUAUUUAUUAAAGAAUAAUUAAUUUUUAGUACCUUGGGUAUCAGGGUUUAUUAAUUUAUAGUUAAAAAUUUAAUUAUCUCGAAUUAAUAAGAGUUAUAGUUGUAUUUAUUUUUUUGUUGAAUAAAAAUUUUUAAUACAGUUAUGGAGAUGAAACGUUAUUCGUUUAUUAAUAUAUCUAGUUUUUAAAGAAAAAAAUUUAAUUUUUUUAUUAUUUUAAUAUUUAAUUAAAUUUUUAAUUGUAUAUUUGUAAUAUAAAAUAUUUUAAGGGAUGAGCUUUAAAAUAAAUUUUUUUAAAAUAUUAUAUUUUUUUAUUAAGUAGGAUUGUAAGUUUUUAUCUUUAAAAGUGUGUUGUAACUAUUUUAAUUAUACAUAUAAUUUAUAUUUUAUUUUGAAAUUUUUUAUUUAAAUAGAGAUUUUAUUUUAGGUAAAUUUCGUAAAAAUGAUGAAAUUAGUAUAAUAUUUUUGUAUUUAAUAAUUUUAUAAGAAAGGUUAAGUAAAGGAAUUCGGCAAAUAAAUUUUUCACCUGUUUAUUAAAAACAUGGCCUUUUGAUUAUAAUUUAAGGUCUGGCCUGCCCAAUGAGGAUUUCAAUGGCCGCGGUAUUUUGACCGUGCAAAGGUAGCAUAAUCAUUAGUUUUUUAAUUGAAAGCUGGAAUGAAAGGUUGGAUGAAAAAAUAGCUGUCUCUAUUUAAAUUGUAUAGAAUUUUAUUUUUAAGUAAAAAAGCUUAAAUGAUUCUAGAAGACGAGAAGACCCUAUAGAGUUUAAUUAAUUUGUUUUAUUUAUUUUUUAGUAUUUAU
rnacentral:rRNA from 1 species